UACGUAGGGUGCGAGCGUUGCCCGGAUUUAUUGGGCGUAAAGGGCGCGUAGGCGGCUCGGCACGUCCGUUGUGAAAUCGCCCGGCUCAACUGGGCGGGGUCAGCGGAUACGGUCGAGCUUGAGCAAGCUAGGGGGCAAUGGAAUUCCCGGUGUAGUGGUGGAAUGCGUAGAUAUCGGGAGGAACACCGGUGGCGAAGGCGGCUUGCUGGGCCUUACCUGACGCUGAGGAGCGAAAGCGUGGGGAGCGAACAGG
rnacentral:rRNA from 1 species